rnacentral:lncRNA from 1 species
UGCCCUCAAGGGCACAUAAUUGAUGCAUUCCCAACUUGCCCAAGACAGAAAAUACUUGGAAUGGUUGGCAGGAGUUCAUCACUCUUGUGGUUGGUAAUUAUGGUGUGAUUUCGAGUUGGCCAAUUAAUUCAUCGAAUCCUUAUCCUUAUUGGUUGCUCACAAUAUUACCAAAGCGUGUAUACCAUACCUUUAAAAAUCCUUUUAUUUUUUUACCCCUUUGGAAACUUCUCUUUUAAUCUCAAAUUGGUGACAAUUUGUAGUAAAGAUUAAAAAUGAAGAGUAAGCUUUCUCUCAACUUCUCUUAUAACAAAAAGGGGCCAAGAAAAUGUAUGUUAUGUCUUGAGCUGUCAGUCAUCAUAUGUGAACAAAUUUAAAACAAAUAAAAUUUUAAUACACGUUAAAAAAAAGAGAGAGAAAAUGUAUGUUAUGUCUCUGAGCAUAGGACCAGGUUUACAGUUACCUCUUUUUAUAACAAAAUUUUUAACUAGUUCUCCCUAUUCAAUGGCUACCUUAGUUUGCAGGUCAUAAAGGCUGGGAGGUAAACAACAGAAAUUUGUAUAUUCUCAAAACUGGAGGCUGAAAACCAGACAUCAAGGUGUGGGCAGGGCUACUUCUUCCCAGAUCUCUCUCCAUGGCUUGCAGGUGUCUGCCUUCUCUCUGUCCUCACAAGGUCUUUGUAUGUUAUCUCUGACCUAAUCUCUUCUUACUUGACAUCAGUCAUAAGGACCAGGACCCACAAUAACAAUGUUAUUUUAGCUUGACCUUUUUCAAGGUGGACUUUCCAAACACAAUCACAUUCUGAGGAACUGGAGGUUAGAGCUUCAUCAUAUGAGAUGGAUGGGAGUAUAAUUCAGUCUAUAACAUGGACCAUUUAUCAACAUUUUAGAUUUAAAAGAAAAGAAGAUUCCUUUGUGUCUGCACUUGGAAUAUGAAGUGCAGGAAUUCACCACUUUUUUCAUUAUGGAGUAAAAAAUUAACCAUGUAGGAAGUAAAAUGAGGACUUACUGUGGUCUCAGGGUAGUGUUUAGAGUCUAUGUUAGAUACAAACACAAGGCAGGGGCCUUGUCCUCAAGGAAUAAAUGUUUAAACUGAUAAAGCCAUAAAAUGGAAGUAAAUUUUAAUGUUUCCAUUUUCUAGAUAAUUGCUCACUUCUGCUCUUCAGUUUGUGAGUUUAGAGAUUUUUUUGGUUUCCCUGAAUUAUUAAGAGGAGAUGUUUAGAACUUGCUGAAGAAGCCUUCUCAAGGGAGCUUAUUAUAUUGACAACCCUGGGUUUUGUUCUUUUUCUUUUCAGUCCCCAAGGUGCACACUGUUAAAAUAAAAUAGUGUCCCUAAAAGUAGGUUUUUAAAAGCUGUAUUAUUUUAGUAAUGACUCAUCUUCUGUUGUGCUAAUAUGUUGAUGCUGAAAUAAGUCCAAUGUGGACAGACCUUCGAUUUACUACAAGAGUGAUUUUGGAAAUGUAUUGGGUCCUAAUUGGCAAGUUCUCUAUUUCACUAUAUUUUUUUCCCUCAAGAAAUGGUCAUUGCUGAUCCAGUAAUUAAGAACAUAAAUCUGAGUUUCCUUUCAAAACAGUUUUACUGAGUUUAGAUUUGGCAAGAACCACAUUGUGUAAUAAUUCACUGUUUCAUGUUUCAUCCUCUAACCCGUAAAUCAUGAAAGAACAUUGUUCAUUACAGAUAAAUCGGAAUGUUUAUUCCUAAAAUGUUAUAUUCAGAGACAUCUCCAAAUUAAAAUGUCAUUUUUCAGAUUCAGAUAGUUCUAAAAUGCUCUGCCUGGCGCUGAGGUUCAGAGGUGGGUAACCCAAUUUUUGCUUUCAAUGAGCCUCAAGACAGUGGAGAAGAGAUGUGUCAAAGAGUGAAUCUCUUUAACAUGAAACAGUGUGUGCUGCGUGUGGCAAUGGGGGACAGAGUGCAACAGGAGCUCAUAAGAAACAGACUGUCACAAGGCAAGGGAUGAGUAGACGCCAAGUAGAGUUCUUAAGAGGACACCUUUACACCAGGAUUUGAUAGAGUAGGCUUGCGACUGGAAUUCAGGAAGAGAGAACAUUCUGAGUGGAAGAAAAAGCAUGAGUACAGCACAUGGUGGGAAAAGGGGUAGGGAAUAUCCAGGGAAGGAGGGUAGAAUACGGCGGAAGAUAAAAACGCUAUGAUGGGAGAUCAUUGGAAAGGGGAAUUGAGCCAGAUCUUAGGCUGUCUUUUCUUGAAUGGCCUCGUAUGUCUUCUGAAGAUUUAGGGGAUCAUUCUGCAACUAAUAAGGAGCAAGCCAAGAUUUGCACACUAGAGCUGCAUCCGAUCCUAUUUAAGACAGCUCCAAUGGCAUUUUGAAGGAUCAACAUUUGAAGGAUGCAGAGGAACUUUAGGGGUAAGCAAAUUAGAAGGUGCAGUAAUCCAGGGGAAGAAAACCAGAAAGCUGAAGAUUGGACAGGGAACAAUGACAAUGGAAAUCAAAGCCAGGAUCGGAAAGGUCUGGUCCUCUUUGUGUCCAUGCAGACUCACUCUUCAUGUGACAGACUGUGCCCGUGUCUAGCCCUGAGAUUCUAUGAGGUAGGCUUCUAUGACCACAUAAGAACCUUGUAUUCUAGAUGGAAGCAUUGCACCCUAAUUGUAAGAACAUAUAAGAAUGCUUCAGUGAGAAUUCUUUAAGUGAGAUCAUCUCUCCCACCUCAGUUACUAUAUCAGUUGAAAGGGGAUAAUUAGAGCUACUGAAUACAAAACUAAUUUUUUUCGGGGGCUGGGGUAUGGAGACAUAGUAAUGAUUGGGCAAUUUUCCUAAAUAGUUCCUAUUGAUUCAAUUCUACCCUUGGGUUUUAUAGGACCAUGAGUUUUAGUUUUGGCUCACUGAACUCUAAAUAAGAAUUUAACAAAAAAUUCAAAAUGAAACCAGGAGGAAGUUAGGGAAGGAAACAAGCUAAUUAGAUGACAUUAUUACAGAAGAUCUUAAAUUGUUGGAUUACAAUACAAGAUACCAAAGUGCUUAAAAUUCUUAAUGUUUCCUAAGUUCCAAAGUGAUUUUGUAGAGGUAUAGUUGAAGAAAUAUACUGAGAAGGAAACAAGUAGCCAAUCAGACAUAUGGAGACCAUUGUUGACUGCUUGGUGGUGGGCAUGGAAGAAAAACAUAAAAUGGUCUACAACUGGAGAACAUGCAUUUUGCAGCAUUUAUAGAAAGGAAAUCCCAUUUUAUCUCUAACUGGUAAGUAUAUCUUCACUUAGAUUAUUUAUUCUAUCAAACACUUACAUGUUGCCAUUUAUAUUUGCACAAUUGAACCUCAUAACAAUCUUGUGAAGAACUUUUAUUAUUUCUAUUUUAUAGAUGGACAACACAGCAAGUUAAACACAACUCACUACAUUCACACAGCUGUUAUGUGGUAGAGUUAAGAAUCAGUGCAGGCAGUCUAAAUCUAGUGACCAUGUUCUUAAGCAGGAUACUAGGCUACCUUUCUAAGUUUGAAAGUUGGGAAGAGUCAAUGUUUGCUAUAUUGCUUUUAAAUAUGAGAGCUAUUCCUUUAAUUCUUAUUUCCCUUCAACCAAUUUUCUCCUUCUCCUCCUCCUCCUCCCCCUCCUCCUCCUCUUUACCCACCUGUCUCUUCUUUAAGCUAUGGCUUUAUCCAGAAGAACCUUGAUAGGACUGUCAAAGAUUUGUACAUACUCAUGAAGUAAACUAAAAGCAAAAGCUUGAAUGUAGGCUGAAAGCAGCAAUAGCAUUUAUACUUGUUGCAUUUCUUCUGUGACUGAUAGUUAACUCAUUUAAGAUAGCUCCAAUGGCAUUUUGAAUUUAAGUUGUUAGGUACACUUAAAUAUGAAGAUAAAUUAGGUUCAUAGCUUCAAAAAAUACAUAGUGAGGAGGAGACAAGGGUAUGAAAUAUUUAGUUAGAGAAGGUAAGUGUUAGUCUAGCAGUGCACAUAAGAUUUCAUAUAAACAAAGACAUUUGGCUUCUAAAUCAUAGGAUUGGGGAACACUUCCUAGCAGAGGUUUCACUUGUGUUGGGUCUUGAAGGAGGAGGAGAAUUUAGGAAGACAAGGAACAGAAGAAUGGCAUUGUAGACA